GGACAGGGUGAAGAGAGGAGAGGAGGGAAGAGACAAGGACAGGGUGAAGAGAGGAGAGGAGGGAAGAGACAAGGACAGGGGUGAAGGAGGAGAGGAGGGAAGAGACAAGGACAGGGUGAAGGAGGAGAGGAGGGAAGAGACAAGGACAGGGUGAUGGAGGAGAGGAGGGAAGAGACAAGGACAGGGUGAAGAGAGGAGAGGAGGGAAGAGACAAGGACAGGGUGAAGGAGGAGAGGAGGGAAGAGACAAGGACAGGGUGAAGAGAGGAGAGGAGGGAAGAGACAAGGACAGGGUGAUGGAGGAGAGGAGGGAAGAGACAAGGACAGGGUGAAGAGAGGAGAGGAGGGAAGAGACAAGGACAGGGUGAAGGAGGAGAGGAGGGAAGAGACAAGGACAGGGUGAAGAGAGGAGAGGAGGGAAGAGACAAGGACAGGGUGAAGAGAGGAGAGGAGGGACGAGACAAGGACAGGGUGAAGAGAGGAGAGGAGGGAAGAGACAAGGACAGGGUGAAGGAGGAGAGGAGGGAAGAGACAAGGACAGGGUGAAGGAGGAGAGGAGGGAAGAGACAAG
rnacentral:lncRNA from 1 species